UGGGGAAUAUUGCACAAUGGGCGCAAGCCUGAUGCAGCCAUGCCGCGUGUGUGAAGAAGGCCUUCGGGUUGUAAAGCACUUUCAGCGAGGAGGAAGGCGUUAAGGUUAAUAACCUUAGCGAUUGACGUUACUCGCAGAAGAAGCACCGGCUAACUCCGUGCCAGCAGCCGCGGUAAUACGGAGGGUGCAAGCGUUAAUCGGAAUUACUGGGCGUAAAGCGCACGCAGGCGGUUUGUUAAGUCAGAUGUGAAAUCCCCGAGCUUAACUUGGGAACUGCAUUUGAAACUGGCAAGCUAGAGUCUUGUAGAGGGGGGUAGAAUUCCAGGUGUAGCGGUGAAAUGCGUAGAGAUCUGGAGGAAUACCGGUGGCGAAGGCGGCCCCCUGGACAAAGACUGACGCUCAGGUGCGAAAGCGUG
rnacentral:rRNA from 1 species